GAAGUUACUUAUGCUGAGAUCGAACUGAAACGAAAACAGUAAGCAAAGAAAAAAGAAGAGAAAAGCAGUGUGGGGGCAGACACUGUAUACUCAGAGCUGAGGCAGGACUCACACAAAGGUUGUUGAGGAACAGCACAGACUGCUGGGAAACAGAGUUCAUCCUCCUGUGUUACUCACUCAAGCUUCUACAAGACCAGGAGUUUAAACCCUCUUAUCCAAGUGUUCAUUCAUUUAUUUGGUUUAAACACAUUUUAAAUGACCAUUUCAGGUACUCAUGUCUACAACAGGAAGAUGUUUUAUAACAGAUGGAGA